AAUUUCAGCAAUCCUCUGAUAACCUGGGUUGCAAAAAUAAAAAUUCAUCAGAGUUUAUCUAUGAAAACUGAUACUUGAAAGAUGGUAUGACUGCCUUUAGAUUUACUAAAUUCAAUCAUUUUGUUCAAUGUAUUUGACACAGAUGUAUCUUCAAAAAUGGAUUUUGUUCCAACUAUAUUGCAAAGUUUUUUUUCAUUUUACAUUUUUAAACAAGAGGUAACAAAUUAAUGAAUUAUUGGAUUCACUCAUUACAUUAAACCAUCCUAGGUUAACGAUGAUUUCUUGAAUUUAAGGAUAACUGACUGGAUUUAUACAACAAAUGCAGACAAACACAUCAGUUUAGGGCUCAGUCAGACAUAAUACCUGCAUGUAACAUUUUAAAAAAUAAAAUGCCUACAUUUUCUCUACAACAGGGGUCCCCUUUUGACUGUUAGGAACCAGACCGAACAGCUGGACAUUAGCAGUAGGCAAGUGAUGUCCCCAUAUAGCAAUUCUGCAAGUCAUCUGAACUUCACAGUACACCUCUUUAAGGUUUUGUAGAAGCAUAUUUAUUCAAGCACCUGAUUUUCUAAGACCAGUACCAAUGUCCACAUGGAAUCUUCUUGCAAUGCUCUUGGUCCUCCCAGGAGUAUAUUAACUCCAAGAGCUCAUUCCAGUUACAGCAUCUUUAUCUCCCUGGUUGGUGAUAACAAUUGGGUGGUGAUGAUAACUGUAACCAUUGGUUAAAAAAAAAAAAACACAGAUGCAAACCUUGGUCCUUCCUAACUGUGAUGAAGAAAUCUACCUACCUUCCCAGUAUCUCAAGUAGCUCAGCAACACCAUUGAAAUGUUCCGUUUCAUAUAUAAACCUG